UACGUAGGUGACGAGCGUUGUCCGGAUUUACUGGGCGUAAAGAGCGCGCAGGCGGUCGUUCAAGUCGAGUGUGAAAGCCCCCGGCUCAACUGGGGAGGGUCACUCGAUACUGAUCGACUUGAAGGCAGGAGAGGGAAGUGGAAUUCCCGGUGUAGUGGUGAAAUGCGUAGAUAUCGGGAGGAACACCAGUGGCGAAGGCGACUUCCUGGCCUGUUCUUGACGCUGAGGCGCGAAAGCUAGGGGAGCAAACGGG
rnacentral:rRNA from 1 species